rnacentral:tRNA from 1 species
UGAUAUUCUCAUGUAUAACUAUUCCCUG